AUUGAAUCAUGGCCAGCAUCCUUACAACUCACUCUGUGCUAUAAAACAUCAUAGGCCAUUUCCUCAGUUCCUGACAUAGAUUACGAAUCAUUUCAACCCAUCUGCGGUUACCGACACUUCAAAAUCAAUCGGUUUCAGGUCAAACAGUUGACUAUCCCCAACAAUCUCAUCCUCGCCGUCUUCUUCUAUCUAGUCUUUCCCCUUGGACACUGUCCCUUCUUAGGUCACUUCAUACUCAACCCAUUUCCAGUGAGUCGCCAUGCUCCCAUUAAUGAAGAAAUAAAUCACUCCGUACCAGCUUCACUAUCUAGCUCGUUGAGUCGUGUGGCUCCACUCGAGUUUGACUAGAUCGGGUAGUUGCCUUCGAAUUUGGAGCUAAGCUUACCUAAAGCACGUUGGUACUGCGAACAAAUGUUCAAAUUUGAAAUGUACUUAAUGACAAACACAAGGGUAGGCCGGGCGACCACGUUACUUGCAGCGUCCACUUUUUAUGGUUUCAGAGCGAAAAGGAAUUAUGUAGAAAAUAGGUGUUGCCAGCGGGUAUUUUUUCUUUUUUGAACUGUCGGACAUCCAUGUUCCUACACCGCCGUUCAACUGAAACGUCUGAUGGACAUCCUUUGCGGCGGCGUCCGCGCGCGAUACAAUUCCGUGGUUUAUUUUACAUCCUGGGGAUAUCCCAAACCUAGAAACAUCCAGGCGACGUUUUUAAAAAUAUCCGCCGCGACAUCCAAAGGACAUCUGCACCCAAUGUUUGUGGAUAUAC
rnacentral:sRNA from 1 species